rnacentral:lncRNA from 1 species
UCCAUAGGUGGUCUGAUGGGUGGAGACCUCACGUCUGGUGCAGGCACCAGUGCAGGGAACGGGUAUGGCAAUCCCCGAAACUCACCAGGUCUGCUGGUCUCACCUGGUAACUUGAACAAGAAUAUGCAAGCAAAAUCUCCUCCCCCAAUGAAUUUAGGAAUGAAUAACCGUAAACCAGAUCUCCGAGUUCUUAUUCCACCAGGCAGCAAGAAUACGAUGCCAUCAGUGGUAAUACAAAACUACAUUUUAAAUAAAUAUUGAUAAUGUUUUGUAUAUGUUUUGCUGUUUUUAUAUUUGUCUAACUUGAUGAAUUACUUAACAUUCUCCCAGAAAAUUAACAUAACAGUGCCAUUGACAGAGCCUUGCUUGUAUUUAGCUAUUAUUUCUGGUAACUGGUUUGCAUUUCCCUUUUCCGUGUAAAAAAAAUAUAUAUAUAUAUCUGGUGAACUUCACUAGGCUGAUGUUCUAGGAUAAGAAAAACAUUUUCUUUUAAGGCUUUCAAUUUAUAGUUGG